rnacentral:lncRNA from 1 species
UUGCGUGUCAGACUUUACGGGCCGCUAUGACGUAGCGAACGUAUCUAGAGGCUGCAAACCAUGUUAGCUGCUGUGCUUCACCGACAUCCGGCUGCGCAGCCUCCAGUGUGAAAAUUCACGUACAAGUAACCUAAUCCAAUCUAACCUAACCCAACCUAACCUAACUCAACCUAACCUAACCUAAAACGCCGGCAAAUCGCUCGGAGACUGCUUAUGAAGACGAAAUAAUCUUGCACAAUGUGGGCGUGUUCACCGCCUCCAAGGAACUGCUCAUACCAGUGUACGCUUGGAUGCCUCACCACUCUGAACCUAUCUCAAGUCAGUGAAGAAUGUGUCAUCACCGAAAGCAAGCUCAUGGGCCAAAACCCUCGCAAGAAAACUGGACUAAAUAGAGACCAUUUAUUUCCAAGCUACCCACAUCCAGUCGUAAGAAGCUCUACAGUUGCCAUUGUGACAAUCCUAUGCGCCACCAAUAUGCCAGGCGGACAAAUGGAAGCCAUAUGCCGAAAAGCAGUGAUAGCGUACGGUAUGUUCAAGCUGUACGACAUUGGGUGCACAGAUUGUUGUUUCUUGCUUUAUGAACUACUCAGUUUACCGGAAACGUGCAGGCUUCAAAAUUCUUGGACAGUGCAUGUCAUGGGGUGCACAUACAGUAUUUCACGCUACGUUUCGCACUUUCGAUAGAGUAUCACAUAUAACUAGGUAACAAAUGGGCUUCUAGUAGUGCAUAUUUAGCAGCACUUCUUUUUCACAUUGUGUAUAAAUUGCUGUGAAUGUAACGACUGUGCAAGGCAGUGGUAGGUAGAGCUAUAGUAGUGUUGAAACAGUUACUGAUACCGUGUGCAUGUUGGGAGUCACACUAUCAAAAUACUUGAAAAAACUGUGCAAGAACUCGUGCCUUCAUUAAGCAAGACAUGCCCUGCAGAGGUAGCAAUCGCGGAGCCGAACCAUGACAGUAAAAUACCUAGAAGAAUAAGGAAGAAUAAAAAUGGGUGGAUCACAUUUGGCAAGCAUUCUCAAAUCACGAAUGAUAAUCUGUCACUAACUCUCAAGCUGAACAUAUAUAACAGCUGUGUCUUGCCCGUACUUACCUACGGAGGCUUACAAAGAGGGUUCAGCUUAAAUUGAUGACGACGCAGCAAGCGAUGGAAAGGAAAAUAAUAGGUGUAAAGUUAAGACACAAGAAGAGAGCAGAGUGGGUAAGGGAACAAAUCGGUGUUGAAGAUAUCGUAGUUUAAAUCAAGAAGGAGAAACGAACAUAGGCUGGGCACAUAGUACGCAGGCAGAAUAACCGCUGGUCAUUAAGGGUAACUGACUGGAUUCACGGAGAAGGAAAACGCAUGAAGUGAAGACAGAAGGUUAGGUGGGCCAAUGAUAUUAAAAAGUUUGUACGUAUAACGUGGCAGCAGAAAGCACGGGACCAACUUGAUUGGCCGAUCAUAAGAGAGGCCUUUGUUCUACAGUGGGUGUAAUCAGGCUGAUGAUAUGCCAAAAACAACCACCACGAUGCUUGCAAGCAGUGAACCGUAGCGCUGAAACGUAUGGCAAUAUUUGUGCUUCAAAACAUGUUUGUUUACAUGACAGAUUUAAUGCAAUAAAAAUGAGAAUUAAUCAAUUAUUUUCAUUCGCUUGCAUUUCUUCCACUGUGACUCCAUGAUCAUCCUUCGUAGCUUGUCCAAGGGCUCUAGUUAAGCAUCCGAAAUCUCAUCUGCUGAGAAAUGCUGCUGUUGGGUUGUUUUCCUCCUCUAGUAAAUUUAGUUUGGUUUGAUUUUGCAAAAUGUUGUGAUCACUCUGGACAGACUUGUGCAAGCAGCAACGAAAACAAGGGGCCCCCAGUUUGAAUUAGCUGUUGCGGAUACCAAUGUGUUCAAAUUGUCGAGAGAUUUCCACCAAUAGAAAUACACAGGGCUGUGCGCUUUUACUUAACCGAGUUCAAAUAACAACCUUUUACUGUAAUAUUAUUUGUUCUAUGCAAAACACCUGAUGCACGACAAGGCAUUUUUAAAGGUAUGUUAAUUUUUAACAGAACAAUGACUGAGUGCAUUCAGUAGGUAUAAUCAUAGUUUGCCAGUGUUUGUACAUGUUGAUGAUUCGACUGUCUACUAAAAGCGAUUUUCUUGAUAUUGCUGUGAAAUAUGUAGCCAAAAGAACUAGUUUUGUAUGGUACCCGUGUUAACAGUUAGGAAGUAGUGAAGAAUAAAAAUGUGAAUUGAG